rnacentral:rRNA from 1 species
AGAGUUUGAUCCUGGCUCAGAACGAACGCUGGCGGCGUGCCUAACACAUGCAAGUCGAACGGAGUUAAUCAGCAGCACUGAGCUGGCAAGCGAACAAGCCGACAAGCUAAGAAGCGUUCUAUAUUUUUAGCAUGCAAGCUUGUAAGCCGGAUAGCUUGUGAGCUUAGUGCUGUUGGUUAACUUAGUGGCGGACGGGUGAGUAACACGUAGGUAACCUGCCCUGAAGCGGGGGACAACCCAGGGAAACUUGGGCUAAUACCGCAUAAGACCACGAUCUGAAAUGAUUGGGGUAAAAGCAGCAAUGCACUUCAGGAGGGGCCUGCGGCCUAUCAGGUAGUUGGUAAGGUAAUGGCUUACCAAGCCUAAGACGGGUAGCCGGACUGAGAGGUUGAACGGCCACACUGGAACUGAGACACGGUCCAGACUCCUACGGGAGGCAGCAGUGGGGAAUUUUGCGCAAUGGGCGAAAGCCUGACGCAGCGACGCCGCGUGAAGGAUGAAGGUCUUCGGAUUGUAAACUUCUUUUGUCGGGGAAGAUAAUGACGGUACCCGAUGAAUAAGCCACGGCUAACUCUGUGCCAGCAGCCGCGGUAAGACAGAGGUGGCAAGCGUUGUUCGGAAUUACUGGGCUUAAAGGGCGCGUAGGCGGUGGAGUAAGUCUGAGGUGGAAGAUUAGGGCCUAACCCUAAAAUUGCCUUGGGAAACUGCAUCACUUGAGUCAGCGAGGGGGAUGGCGGAAUUCCAGGUGUAGCGGUGAAAUGCGUAGAUAUCUGGAGGAAGGCCCGGUGGCGAAGGCGGCC